UACGAAGGGGGCUAGCGUUGCUCGGAAUCACUGGGCGUAAAGCGCACGUAGGCGGAUUGUUAAGUCAGGGGUGAAAUCCUGGAGCUCAACUCCAGAACUGCCUUUGAUACUCACGGUCUUGAGUUCGGGAGAGGUGGGUGGAACUGCGAGUGUAGAGGUGAAAUUCGUAGAUAUUCGCAAGAACACCAGUGGCGAAGGCGGCUCACUGGCCCGAUACUGACGCUGAGGUGCGAAAGCGUGGGGAGCAAACAGG
rnacentral:rRNA from 1 species